CCUACGGGAGGCAGCAGUGGGGAAUAUUGGGCAAUGGAGGAAACUCUGACCCAGCGACGCCGCGUGCGGGAUGAAGGCCUUCGGGUUGUAAACCGCUUUCAGUAGGGAAGAAGCGAAAGUGACGGUACCUACAGAAGAAGCACCGGCUAACUAUGUGCCAGCAGCCGCGGUAAUACAUAGGGUGCAAGCGUUGUCCGGAAUUAUUGGGCGUAAAGAGCUCGUAGGUGGUUCGUCACGUCGGAUGUGAAAAUCUGGGGCUCAACCCCAGACCUGCAUUCGAUACGGGCGAUCUAGAGUGUGGUAGGGGAGACUGGAAUUCCUGGUGUAGCGGUGGAAUGCGCAGAUAUCAGGAGGAACACCAAUGGCGAAGGCAGGUCUCUGGGCCAUUACUGACACUGAGGAGCGAAAGCGUGGGGAGCGAACAGGAUUAGAUACCCUGGUAGUCCACGCCGUAAACGGUGGGCACUAGUUGUGGGAACCUUCCACGGUUUCUGCGACGCAGCUACGACAUAAGUAGCCCGCCCGUCGGGAGGUACGAGUCGCGAAGAAGUUAAAACUUAACGUAAAGGUAAAGUUAGUUACGGCGUGAGAGUGCCGACGGACGACGACGAGGGAGGAGG
rnacentral:rRNA from 1 species